UUUUAUGAUGAAUGGCACUGGGCUCUGAAGGACUCAAAAGAGUACCUAGCCUUGAAGCAUAACGCCCUUUUGUGGCAGGCCUCAGAAACCUCGCCCACUGAUC
rnacentral:snoRNA from 1 species